rnacentral:ribozyme from 14 species
GCUUGUUGUUGGAGCUUCUGAUUUUUUUUUUUCUUUUUUUUUUCU